rnacentral:rRNA from 1 species
AUGGCGGUUGUUUUGAGAUAUCUUAGCAAGCGUGGAUUUAUCAUUGAACGGUUAGUUGGAAUUGAACAUGUGAAGGAAACAUCAGCAACUUGUCUCAAGGACACUCUUCAAAAUUUAUUCACGAAAAUUGGAUUAAGCAUAAAUCACGUCAGAGGCCAAUGCUAUGAUGGGGCUAGCAACAUGUGCGGUGAGUUUAAUGGCUUGAAAGCAAAGAUUAUGCAAGAGAAUAAGUCAGCAUAUUAUGUGCAUUGUUUUGUUCACCAGCUCCAGUUGGUUAUUGUGGCAGUAUCAAAGAAGCAUGACGAUGUUGCGGAUUUUUUCUAUAUGAUCUCCGUUUUAUUCAAUGUGGUUGGAGCUUCUUGCAAAAGAAAGGAUAUGAUUAGAGAGAAACAUCGAGAGGACGUAAUAAAAGCCAUAGGCUGUGGGCAGAUUAUCACUGGCACAGGGUUAAAUCAGGAACAAACUCUUCAAAGAGCCGGUGACACACAUUGGGGCUCACACUACAGGACCCUUUCAAGUCUAUUGAAAUUGUUCCCAUCAGUUAUGUCUGUUCUGAAAUAUGUUGAGAAGGAAGGAAAAAGUGAUAAGAAAUGUCAGGCACGUGGUCUUGUAGCAUAUUUUGAGACCUUUGAUUUUGUUUUCUAUUUGCACAUGAUGUUGCAUAUAUUGGGAAAUGCAAAUACUUUGUCGCAGUCUUUACAAAGGAAGGAUCAAGACAUCUUGAAUGCCAUCUCAUGUGUGAAGUCAACAAGAAAUGAGCUGCAAGAACUAAGGGAUAAUGGAUGGGACUCACUUCUUGAGAAGGCAUAUUCAUUUUGUGAAGAGCAUCACAUUGAGAAUGCAAAUAUGCAGGAGCAAUAUGUUAAUCGGCUAAAACCACGACAAAAAACCAAGAAGACAAACCUUCAACAUUACCGAAUUGAGUGUCUUAAUUCUGUUAUUGAUUGGCAGCUUCAAGAGUUUGAUGACCGCUUCAAUGAGGUAAAUUCUGCAUUGCUUGGGCACAUGGCUUCUUUCAAUCCCAAAGACUCUUUUGCUGCUUUCAACUUGGACAGCUUAGUGAAGCUAGCUGAGUUUUAUCCAGAUGACUUUGAUUCAAGAAAAAUGGAUGAUCUUGGUCCUGAACUUCGCACUUACAUUGACAAUGUGCGGGCAGAUGAAGGUUUGCCAAUUUGGACGGAAUUGCUGAUCUUGCUAAAUUAA